CCUACGGGAGGCAGCAGUGGGGAAUUUUGGACAAUGGGCGAAAGCCUGACCCAGCAAUGCCGCGUGUGUGAAGAAGGCCUUCGGGUUGUAAAGCACUUUUGUCCGGAAAGAAAUGGCUCUGGUUAAUACCUGGGGUCGAUGACGGUACCGGAAGAAUAAGGACCGGCUAACUACGUGCCAGCAGCCGCGGUAAU
rnacentral:rRNA from 1 species